CCAGCGAUCCGAAUGAGGACAGGCCCGCAACGCGGGCCCGACUCGGUUUUUUUUCGUCUUUUUCUUUUUUUAUUUAUUUAUCGAAACGGCGUCGUGGCCCAUCGUUUUGGGAGGGAUCCAGCCCGGCCCGACGACCCGGCUCUGCAACCCGCUCCCCCGAUGAAACCCUACCCGGAUCCGACCCGAACCCUGACCCGGUUUCCGCCGCCCCCCCAAAAUACGGAGAAACCCUACCCGACUCGUAGCCCCGGGUCCGACCCACUGACCCAAGGCCGCGACCCGGAAAAUCGAGAACCCUAGGGUUCUCGAUUCGCGGCGCCGGAGAGGGGAAGGCUGAGGUGCGCGGUGGCGACGGCGGCGACGGCGGCGACGACGGUCAGAGCUUCGAGCGGAAAUCGGUAUGGCGUGGGCAGGAUCUAUUGUCACCUGCUCUCGGCGUUGGCACGGCACGGUGGCACGGCUUGAUGACAGCGGCCCUUAAACUUGGACGGCGUCGGGAAAAAUAGCAGCGGCGAGGCGCGGGGGGCGACAGUAUGGUUUAACGGCGUCGGGACUGGUGUUCGGCCACAGCGACGGCGGCGGCCUGGCUCGGGGCGACUCGGCACGGCGGAUUUCCAGAUCUGCGCCCAGAUCCCGACCCUCUCUCCUCCGGAUCUUCUCUCGCUCAGCUCCUUCCUGCUCGGAUCUCACCUUCUUUGCUUCUCAGCCCGACCUCGCUUCUCUCUCACUCAGGCCAGAUCCGAGCCUCCACCGGCCGGAUCUGACCUUCUCGGACUCGCUCGCCGGCGGCCUCCCCUGAAGUCUCUCAGUGGGAGGUCAGCCGAGCUCGCGACCCGAGUUCUCUCCCGUGCUCGCCCUUCAAUCCUUCCCGAUGUCUCUCAGUGAAGGAUCUCCGAGCUCGCCCGUGCCGUUCGUCGACGGAGGUGCUCCUCUAUUUAUAGGCGAGGAGGAGGCCGGUCGACGGAGGUUCGGCCGUCGGCUCUCGCACGCCGA
rnacentral:lncRNA from 1 species